rnacentral:rRNA from 1 species
UACGGAGGAUGCAAGCGUUAUCCGGACUGCUUGGGCGUAAAGGGUCCGCAGGUGGCCGUGUAAGUCUGCUGUCAAAGAAUGAGGCUUAACCUUAUCAAGGCAGUGGAAACUACACAGCUAGAGUACGGUCGGGGUAGAAGGAAUUCCUGGUGUAGCGGUGAAAUGCGUAGAGAUCAGGAAGAACACCGGUGGCGAAAGCGUUCUGCUAGACCUGUACUGACACUGAGGGACGAAAGCUAGGGGAGCGAAUGGG